rnacentral:rRNA from 1 species
GUGGGGAAUCUUCCGCAAUGGACGAAAGUCUGACGGAGCGACGCCGCGUGAGUGAAGAAGGCCUUCGGGUCGUAAAGCUCUGUCAUCAGGGACGAACGGCCGGUGGAGUGGAAAGCCACCGGAUUGACGGUACCUGAGAAGGAAGCCACGGCUAACUACGUGCCAGCAGCCGCGGUAAUACGGAGGUGGCAAGCGUUGUCCGGAAUUAUUGGGCGUAAAGCGCGCGCAGGUGGGAUCUUAAGUCCAUGUGGAAAGUUCGGAGCUCAACUCCGUGAGGGGAUGGAAACUGGGAUUCUUGAGUACCGGAGAGGAAAGCGGAAUUCCCCGUGUAGCGGUGAAAUGCGUAGAUAUGGGGAGGAACACCAGUGGCGAAGGCGGCUUUCUGGACGAAAACUGACGCUGAGGCGCGAAAGCCAGGGGAGCGAACGGGAUUAGAAACCCGGGUAGUCC